AGCAGGACAACAUCUGAAGAAAGGGCGUGGUACUUUUAAUAACAUUUCUCUGGAGCAUUUGGGUAAUUACGUUGACUUCAAACGGUGCUGCCCAGGCUGCAGAGUCCCUGUUGCAAGCUUAAAGGGUUGGUGUCUACGGAAGUCGUGUAAGGUGGUGGACGUUUUACCUAGGGCCUUGGGGUGACAAAUAGCUAAAGCUUCAUUGAAUGCAACGGUUCCCUGUUUGUCGCACUAUAUAAAUAGCGGCAGCGAUGGACAAGAACACGGAAAUAUACGGGAUGUCAUGUAUACCAGACAUGGCGCAUGGGGAAAAGGAGAAGAGGCAGUUGAACAAACGGGAAGAAAACGCUGGACUGAUCUGUGAAAUUGCCGAGUUGUGUAAUCGGUUUGAAAACUGUGGAAUUGAGAAGUACGAGCUGCAUGGUUUACAGAAAGAAGCAUUUUCCAAUAUUCUGCAUAAGUUGCCUAACAUUAUAGACGUACCCGGAACAUAGGCGAGUUACUCGAGGCAGUUUUUGGAGGAUUCAUUCCUCCCGGAACAUCGGUUAAGUACUUACAAAAGUUGCAGAAAGACUACGGUGUAGGCUGCCUUAAGAAAAUGUACCCGAAACAUAGCAAGGAAUGGACGGUAACAAGAGUUGUGUUUGUUGAAAGUGCCUCUCAAUCUCUGCUGAGCGCAUUAGUCAAUAUCGUCCACAAUUUAUUAGAAUCUCACGACGAGGCAACAGGUUAUUUCAAAUACGAUAUUGACCUGUUCGUAGUCAUCACAAAAUGUGAUCUGAUUGAAGGAUGCAACACGUCUCUAACGACAUCGGGUUCGAACUUGAUUAAACACGACAAGUUUAAGGCGAUGGAGAAUGAAGUUGCCAAAGAGUUUAGAAUAGGCGGUGCUAUGGAACACAGCAGCAUUCGUUGGCAGAGCUACGUGGACGGCCGAUGUUUGGACGAUCCGCACAUCGACAACACAGCUUUCAAGUUUGUGAAGCAGAUGAUUCAACCGAGACGAAGAAAACAUCAGGUUGAGUCUCAUAAAAUACCUGUGCUUACAACUCAAAGGAUGCUUUUAAUUGAACUUAGAAAUAUGAAUGUAGAACUGAAGCGUGUGGUAUUCAUCGGUAUUUUGGUCGUUUUGUAUAUUGUCUAUAAAUGGCUUACAAAAACCGUUUAAACGGCUGAUUUGAAAGACUUACAAUAACCAACACAAGACCAAAAGCGUUUCUUUUUUCAAUAUAUUGUGCUUUCUAAUAGAUGUUUCAAUGCCGAAAAAGAUGUAUAUACGGUAAUAGUAUUCAAUGAAUUAAAUAAAUGUAUUACUCUUAUUUUAUAAUGGUUUUAAGGGUUAAUAAUGUGACAAUUAAUUGACAGAUGUAUUUCUGUUGUUUUUAUGAUACUUUUAUUGAGGUUAAACAAACAACCAUGUAUGGAUACAUGUAUUACUGUUGUUUUAUGAUUUUUUUCAUUGAGUUUUAGCAUUCGACAAUUCCUCGAUACAUGUAUCGCUUUAUUUUUAUGGUGUUUUGUGUAGGUUAAACAUUUGACACUUAAUGGAUGAUGUUAUUUGUUAUGAUGUUUUAAUUUAGGGUAAACAUUCGACAAUGAACGGAUACAUGUUUGUUUUUUUAAUGUUUUAUUGAGGUUCGAAAUCCGACGAUGAAUGGAGACCUGUAUUGCUGUUAUUUUCAUGAUUAUUUCAUUGACGCUAAACAUAAGACAAUUUAUGAGGAUUAGACACAUGUAAAGUUGAACAACGUUAUUUAUUAAGUGUACAUGUAUAGGUAAUGACAUUUGAUAUGACACGCAUCAUGCGAUCAUGGGUCAUAUGUCAUAUUUGGCCUGCAAAACUGCAGCACAGCCUGUUCAAUCGCACCGUCUGGUCGGCAAGGUUUCGUGGUCUCAUAAACGGACAGAUAAGCCUCUUACCAGACAGCACAAAUGCGCAGACUGUUCUUUAGCAACGCUGACCGCAUAUGGAAUAAGACGCAUUUUUGGAUGAUCCGGCUUAUUUUUCAGAAUCAAUUUACAUUAUUCAUGGAACGGAUUCUGUCAAAUGAAACUUGACACAUUGGCAACCCUUUAUAUCGGCUACAUGUGUUCAUGGCAUGUAAUAACCUUUGCCAAUAUGUUAGCAACUUCUGUGGAUACCAUUAUGAAACGUGUGUGUGUGUGUGUGUGUGUGUGUGUGUGUGUGUGUGUGUGUGUGUGUGUGUGUGUGUGUGUGUGUGUGUGUGUGUGUGUGUGUGUGUGUGUGUGUGUGUGUGUGUGUGUGUGUGUGUGUGUGUGUGUGUGUGCGGGGUGUGCGGGUGUGUGUGUGUGUGUGUGUGUGUGUUUGUGUGUGUGUGUGUGUGUGUGUGUGUGUGUGUGUGUGUGUGUGUGUGUGUGUGUGUGUGUGUGUGUGUGUGUGUGUGUGUGUGUGUGUGUGUGUGUGUGUGUGUGUGUGUGUGUGUGUGUGUGUGUGUGUGUGUGUGUGUGUGUGUGUGUGUGUGUGUG